AGAAUCAACGCUGGCGGCGUGCCUAACACAUGCAAGCCGCACGAGAAAGGGUAGCAAUACCUGAGUAAAGUGGCGCACGGGUGAGUAACACGUGAAUUAUCUACCUCCGAGUGGGGAAUAACUGAGAGAAAUCUUAGCUAAUACCGCAUAACACUUACGAGUCAAAGCAGCAAUGCGCUUGGAGAGGAGUUCGCGGCAGAUUAGUUAGUUGGCGGGGUAAUGGCCCACCAAGACGAUGAUCUGUAUCCGGCCUGAGAGGGCGCACGGACACACUGGAACUGAAACACGGUCCAGACUCCUACGGGAGGCAGCAGUGGGGAAUUUUGCGCAAUGGGGGAACCCUGACGCAGCAACGCCGCGUGGAGGAUGAAUAUCUUGGUAUGUAAACUCCUUUCGAUGGGGAAGAUUAUGACGGUACCCAUAGAAGAAGCCCGGCUAACUUCGCGCCAGCAGCCGCGUAA
rnacentral:rRNA from 1 species